AAAUACUGAGCUAUAGCAGAGCUUGGAGAUAUAGCAAGUCACAUAGCUAAAGCAGAAACCUUCACAUACAAGUUCCCAAGCUCAUCUCCUGUGUUCAAACUCGAUCACCAUGUCGGACAAGUGCAGCAACUGCGACUGCUCUGACUCGAGCCAGUGCACGAAGAAGGGAAGCAGCUACGCUGCUGAUAUCGUGGAGACCGAGAAGAGCUACGUCGAGACUGUUUUCAUGGAUGGUCCGGCCGAUGAGAAUGAUGGCAAGUGCAAGUGCGGCAGCAGCUGCGCCUGCACUAAUUGCACCUGUGGUCUCUGAGCACAGAAACCCGAUGUUAUAUGCAUGUUCCGUGGAAGUUACUAAUUAUGUGGUUGUGAUGUGAUCUUAAUGUCGUCUGUACUGUCCUUUGUGCUUCUUCUGAUGCAUCUGCAUCAUGGCAGAUGCUACACAAAUAAUGUCGUGUAAUACCAUCUGUGUGGCUCGAUUAUAAAUGAACCAAUAUUAGUAUAA